CUGAUGAGUGUCCAAUUCUUUAGUACAGUUUACAUAGAAAUUCGACUUUUAUUCAAGUUGGUUUGUUCCCGGAAUUUUGGUUUUUCUACAACUAGUCGCGGCUGAUGCAAUUUUGCAUCUUCAGUAACUCUACAAUAGUCGUACUUGUCACAUCUGAGGAAGAUCCAUCUCGAACUGCUGCUUUUUUUUUGUUUUUAGGCUUCCCCAAACUUAUAUGUUGGACACAAAUACAUUUUUUAUUUUAUUUACAAGUAUCAAUAUUAUUCUAAUAUAAUAAAAGAUUAUUUAGAUGAAACAAAUAAAUAAAAAAUUGA
ensembl:lincRNA linc-49 ncRNA